UAUAAUGUGAAUCAUUUAAAGCUGUUACUGUGCAUCCACUGGUUCUCAUUUGAUGUGACCAUUAAAAAAGCAGACUUACUCCUCGUCCUCAUACAGAUAUUUCACCGUGAUCCACGGCAACACAAAUAUGAGGGGCGCACCUGAGGACGACAGGGGUGAGAUGUGAAAGUGAUCUGACCUCUUAUCUGUCCACUGCCUCCCCCUACGGUCAAAUAAACAUCAUUUAGGUGCCAUCUUGGAUGCCCCUAAGGCGAAUGACAACCACCAGAGUGUGGGCAGCUGUGCUUCUUACCCCAGCCAAUGGCCAGGUAAAUGUAGAAGUACUUCCUCUCGCUGAACACGGUGAUGACCAGCAAGCUGUGCAGGUAGAUGCCCUCCACCAGC